GACGAACGCUGGCGGCGUGCUUAACACAUGCAAGUCGAACGGAAAGGCCCUGCUCUUGUGGGGUGCUCGAGUGGCGAACGGGUGAGUAACACGUGAGUAACCUGCCCUUGACUUUGGGAUAACUUCAGGAAACUGGGGCUAAUACCGGAUAGGAGCUCCUGCUGCAUGGUGGGGGUUGGAAAGUUUCGGCGGUUGGGGAUGGACUCGCGGCUUAUCGGCUUGUUGGUGGGGUAGUGGCUUACCAAGGCUUUGACGGGUAGCCGGCCUGAGAGGGUGACCGGCCACAUUGGGACUGAGAUACGGCCCAGACUCCUACGGGAGGCAGCAGUGGAGAAUAUUGCACAAUGGGCGGAAGCCUGAUGCAGCAACGCCGCGUGCGGGAUGACGGCCUUCGGGUUGUAAACCGCUUUCGCCUGUGACGAAGCGUGAGUGACGGUAAUGGGUAAAGAAGCACCGGCUAACUACGUG
rnacentral:rRNA from 1 species